rnacentral:lncRNA from 1 species
GGUCGAGAAGUGAUUAAUAGGGUUGGACAGCUUCUCUCACGCAGCCAUCAGGGUAAAUUCUCAAGAUGCCAAACGAUGAAGCAGAACUUUUAUGGAGACCACUAACAUUUACUUUCAGUUCUUCCUGAGAAAAGUACCAAGGCAUAGGUUCCUUAAGUGAUCUUAAAUUGUCUCGUAAGCAUUUUAUAUGUGGGAAGCACUUAGGAAAUAAAUGUUCAAUGAAUGAAUUAAUGAAGGAAUGAAUGCAAAAACAGCUAUGAAAAAAAGCUUAAAAAGAUUCUGCCUGCUUAUGCAAGAUGCUAAUCAUAGCAUUCCAGAAUGCUAAUGGAGAAUUAGCCCAUUUUGAAUUUUGGGAAGAGGACCAGUCUGACCAUACAUACACACUUUUCUCAGCACAUGACAGACAGUAGCAUCCUAGCAGCCAUCCUGUAUUUUGAAGAUGAAUGAGUGACACCAAGGAUGAGAAAGUGAGUGUGGAGUCCUGGACUUCCCAUCUCCAGACCUCUUACAGGAAAGAGGAAAAGGAAACCUGUGUCUUCUUAAUGUCAUGAUUAUUUGGGUUUUUUGUUCAGAGAAUUCUGCCAAACCUAACACUCAUUUAAAAGCUUAUCAAGCAAUUAUUAUAAAUUUAUUGAGUGAGCACUUUCUAUUCUUAAAAUUUGGGAUUUGCCCUUUCAUUAAUAGUGCCAAGAAGACCUCAUCCUUCAAAGUUCAUUCAUUUUUAUUGAAGAGUAAUAGUUUAUUGCAACACAGUGAAAAGGUAACCUACAGAAAGAGAGAAAAAUAUUUGCAAACUAUAUAUCCUAUGUUGAUUAAUUCCCAAAAUAUCUAAGUAAU